GAGGGUAUAGCCCAGUGGUAGAGCACAUGCUUGGUGUGCACAAGGUCCUGGGUUCAAUCCUCAGUGCCUGUU
rnacentral:tRNA from 1 species